AGUGAACGCUGGCGGUAGGCCUAACACAUGCAAGUCGAACGGCAGCACAGUAAGAGCUUGCUCUUACGGGUGGCGAGUGGCGGACGGGUGAGGAAUACAUCGGAAUCUACUUUUUCGUGGGGGAUAACGUAGGGAAACUUACGCUAAUACCGCAUACGACCUACGGGUGAAAGCAGGGGAUCUUCGGACCUUGCGCGAGUGAAUGAGCCGAUGUCGGAUUAGCUAGUUGGCGGGGUAAAGGCCCACCAAGGCGGCGAUCCGUAGCUGGUCUGAGAGGAUGAUCAGCCACACGGGAACUGAGACACGGUCCAGACUCCGACGGGAGGCAGCAGUGGGGAAUAUUGGACAAUGGGCGCAAGCCUGAUCCAGCCAUACCGCGUGGGUGAAGAAGGCCUUCGGGUUGUAAAGCCCUUUUGUUGGGAAAGAAAAGCAGCAGGUUAAUACCCCGCUGUUCUGACGGUACCCAAAGAAUAAGCACCGGCUAACUUCGUG
rnacentral:rRNA from 1 species